UGGAGUAUACCUCAGUGGUAGAGGCUUGCCUAGCAUGCAUGAGGCUUGGGAUUCAAUUCCCAACACCACAA
rnacentral:tRNA from 1 species